CUGUAUCAUGUGAUGACUCCGGUGAUGUUGGAGGCAGCAUGUGACUCCCAGGGCUACGUGGGCUCAAAAACAAUUUAAAUACAAAAACACAGGCAGGUUCCCCUCCUCUCUUUUGCCUUUUGGUCUGGCUCUCCCUCCCUUUGGGCUGGUGCCCGACUGAAUGGAAAACCCGUCAUCUUGCAGGCACUAACCUGUGAGCACCGGGUACCUGGAGACCAGGCCCCCUCUGCUGGGGGUCCCCCAGGAGCUGUGCCCCAUCAUUCUGCAGCCCACUGACUCCCAGCCUGGCGGGGAUGAGGAGAAAAGAUGGAACAGGCACCCAAAGACUCCUAAAUUUGGUACUGGGAAGAUGAAGAGCUUGCUGGGUGUCAACUUUUGUUUUCACAACAAAGGCAAGGUCAUUAGCAGAGAGUAAAGGAGAUGGGAAGAGGAAAGAGAGGACAUAUGAACUGGUCCUCUUGGAGAGGGAGAAAUAAGCACUGUAAAGGAGGGAGCAGGGUUGCUGCAUAAAACAGAGUGCCUAUGAAGAGU